UACGUAGGGGGCAAGCGUUGUCCGGAGUUACUGGGCGUAAAGCGCACGCAGGCGGUCUCUUAAGUUUGGAGUGACAGUUGGUGGCUUAACUGCCAAAGUGCUUCGAAAACUGAGAGACUUGAGGGCUUCAGAGGGACACGGAAUUCCGGGUGGAGUGGUGAAAUGCGUAGAGAUCCGGAAGAACACCAGUGGCGAAGGCGGCCCGCUGGGCAGUGGCUGACGCUGAGGCGCGACAGCGUGGGGAGCAAACAGG
rnacentral:rRNA from 1 species